AUAGCGUAUAUUAAAGUUGUUGCAGUUAAAAAGCUCGUAGUUGAACCUUGGGCCUGGCUGGCCGGUCCGCCUCACCGCGUGCACUGGUCCGGCCGGGCCUUUCCUCCUGGGGAACCGCAUGCCCUUCACUGGGUGUGCUGGGGAACCAGGACUUUUACUGUGAAAAAAUUAGAGUGUUCAAAGCAGGCCUAUGCUCGAAUACAUUAGCAUGGAAUAAUAGAAUAGGACGUGUGGUUCUAUUUUGUUGGUUUCUAGGGCCGCCGUAAUGAUUAAUAGGGAUAGUCGGGGGCAUCAGUAUUCAAUUGUCAGAGGUGAAAUUCUUGGAUUUAUUGAAGACUAACUACUG
rnacentral:rRNA from 1 species